CCUACGGGAGGCAGCAGUGGGGAAUAUUGCACAAUGGGGGAAACCCUGAUGCAGCGACGCCGCGUGAGUGAAGAAGUAUUUCGGUAUGUAAAGCUCUAUCAGCAGGGAAGAAAAUGACGGUACCUGACUAAGAAGCCCCGGCUACCUACGUGCCAGCAGCCGCGGUAAUACGUAGGGGGCAAGCGUUAUCCGGAUUUACUGGGUUUAACGGGCGCGGAGACGACCAGACAAGUCAGACGUGAAAGCCCAGGGCUUAACCCUGGGACGGCUUUUGAAACUGCCGGGCUGGGGUGCAGGAGAGGUAAGCGGAAUUCCUAGUGUAGCGGUGAAAUGCGUAGAUAUUAGGAGGAACACCAGUUGCGAAGGCGGCUUACUGGACUGUAACUGACGUUGAGGCUCGAAAGCGUGGGGAGCAAACAGGAUUAGAUACCCCAGUAGUC
rnacentral:rRNA from 1 species